UUGGAGGGCAAGUCUGGUGCCAGCAGCCGCGGUAAUUCCAGCUCCAAUAGCGUAUAUUAAAGUUGUUGCAGUUAAAAAGCUCGUAGUUGAAUUUCGGGGUCAGUAGGUCGGUCGUGCCACUGGUAUGAACUGGUUUUACUGAUUCCUCCCUCUUGAAGAACUGUAAUGCCAUUAAUUUGGUGUUGCAGGGAAUCAGGACUGUUACUUUGAAAAAAUUAGAGUGUUUAAAGCAGGCUUUAGCUUGAAUACAUUAGCAUGGAAUAAUGAAAUAGGACGUUUGAUCCUAUUUUGUUGGUUUCUAGGAUUGACGUAAUGAUUAAUAGGGAUAGUUGGGGGCAUUAGUAUUCAAUUGUCAGAGGUGAAAUCCUUGGAUUUAUUGAAGACUAACUACUGCGAAAGCAUUUGCCAAGGAUGUUUUCAUUAAUCAAGAAUGAAAGUUAGGGGAUCGAAGACGAUCAGAUACCGUCGUAGUCUUAACCAUAAACUAUGCCGACUAGGGAUCGGAUGAUGUUAAUUUUUUAAUGACUCAUUCGGCGCCUUACGGGAAAC
rnacentral:rRNA from 1 species